UACGGAGGUUGCAAGCGUUAUCCGGAAUUACUGGGUUUAAAGGGUGCGUAGGCGGCUUCAUAAGUCAGGGGUGAAAGCCCAUCGCUUAACGAUAGAAUUGCCUUUGAUACUGUAAAGCUUGAAAGGGGUUGAGGUCAGCAGAAUGUGGCAUGUAGCGGUGAAAUGCAUAGAUAUGCCAUAGAACACCGAUUGCGAAGGCAGCUGGCUGGGCCUACUUUGACGCUGAGGCACGAAAGCGUGGGGAGCGAACAGG
rnacentral:rRNA from 1 species